UCGGGAUCAGUUACGACUGUAGGAAUCCACUCUGCAUGGAAUUAUUCAAACGUGUAACAUAUACAAGGAUAAUACAGGAGAGGAUAUGAUUGGAUUUAUUCUCGAAAAAGAAACCCGAUAGAGGAAUGUAUUCCCGGUGAUCGAAGAUGCUUCUGCUCGUCGUGGUCUGAGGUUUCUGCGAAGCAAAGUCCCCUUCGUACCCUAUCAAGGUUUGUAUAUCUUUGUGUAAAUGGGCGUUAGUAGAUUCAUAUGAAUCGUAUCCAUAGUCCAUACACACACGGUUAACACGUUCCUAACCUUGUGUUUGUAGUUCUGGCGGUGUACAUGUCACCAAAGCAUCGGAGUUUAUGUUUUUCCGGUUGACUAUACUGUAUUUUUGGCGGUCAUGAUUUGUUGUGGAAUUCGUGGAAAUUCUCUGUUUGUUACAGCGCUAUUAGACGGCGUUUGCGUGCAAUAUCUGUAGAUUAUUGGUGUAUUUGUGUGCAAUAGAUUGUGCUGUAAAGCGUGAAAAUGUGCAUUGAAGGAAUAAUACGACACUUUGUGGUGUGAGAGACUAAUUCAUUCGAUUCUAUUUGUUUUCCGACAG
rnacentral:lncRNA from 1 species